GGGGGUAUAGCUCAGUUGGUAGAGCGCAUGCCUUGCACGCAGGAAGUCAGCGGUUGGAGUCCGCUUACCUCCA
rnacentral:tRNA from 1 species